CUGGGUUGUUUAUUCUUUUACAGUACAUUGAUUUUUCAGUUUUGGCUUUUGAGGGAGCUUGCUCAAUAGGAAUCCAAAAGUGCUUUUGCUUAUACCACUUCUGAGAAUUAAAAACAGACAUGAUGUAAGUAUCAAUGUUGACUAUUUCAGAAAAAAAAGAAACAUCCAAAUAGUGAAAAGUUAAAAUUAAAUUUGAUCUUUUUAUUUUUUAUUUUUUUGAGAUGGAAUCUCACUGUGUCGCCUAGGCUGGAGUGCAGUGGCGUGAUCUUGAUUCACUGCAAUGUCCACCUCCCGGGUCCAAGCAAUUCUCCUGCCUCAGCCUCCCAAGUUGGCUGUGAUUACAGCACUCUUCUUUCUGGGAGGAAACUAGACUGCUUUAGAAAUCACUGCAGGAAUCACAGAGUAAAAUGGAGAAGAACCCAGGGAUGUGUCAUAACACAGUAGUCUGAAAAAGGGCCAGGUAGAAGAGUGGGAAGGACUAUGCCUCUGGCAAGUGCAAGUUCAUAAAUUCCAGUUUCUUCAAGUUACGAGGCACAUCUGCAUCCCCAGAUGAUGGCUACUGGUCAGAACACUGAACUCAUACCAAAAGCUGCUGUUGUUGACAGUUUAAUGUCUAUGGAUCUGACUCGGAGAGAAAUGUGCCACUUACUGAAUCACCAACACCAUAUCUUUGGUGUUGAGGUGGGGCACGCUUACUUUUUCAUCUGAAGAUUGACACAGCCCACCAAGAACAUUUGAAAGAGACAGGAUUGCUGCUGAAAAGGCAUGACAUCAAGCCACACAAAUUGGAUGGUAAGACUAGAGAUUAACUUGUGAACAGGUCGUAUGACGAGAGCUGAAACGUACAACUGGAUCUUGGUCAUGCCAUUCCUCAAAGGAGACUAAGAAAUCCUGAAUUUUUAAUUUAUGCUUAAUAGCCAUGGCUUUGUCUCUACAGAGUGUUUGUGAUACAUUUCUAAGCAUUGGUAAAUUAAUUCUUACUGCACCAACUUGGUGGAAAUCUGUUCCAUCAGAAAGAGUUAAUACAUCCAAAGAGAUAGAAACACAUUUAAGACUAACUUUCACAAGUUCCUGCUUAGCUAAGAAUGAAACUAGAAAACUUUAUUUUGAGUAUUUUACAUUUCUGAUGGUACAGAAUCAACAGUUUGGGAAGCUUAAUACCUAUUUGCCAAGAGAAAAAGUCAGAAUUCUCUUUUCAGGUCUACAUUCUUUUAACUUGUCUCAUCUUUUUAUGUACCCUAGUAGUUUCAGAGAUACACUUGAAGAUAGAGCAAUUUCUGUUUUCAUCACUUUUAACAACAAUGGGUCUUUUUAUCAUUGUCAAUGAAUCAAUAUUCAGCCAGUGCUCCUGAGGAGAUGAAAAAUUCCACCGGCAAUUAUCUUACAGAGUCACCAUGAUUACUAGGUUAUAUGGUUUGGCUGUGCCCCCACCCAAAUCUCAUCUUGAAUUCCCAUGUGUUGCGGGAGGGACCCAGUGGGAGGUAACUGAAUCAUGGAGACAAGUCUUUCUUGUGCUGUUCUUAUGAUAGUGAAUAAGUCUCAUGAGAUCUUAUGGUUUUAUAAAGAAGAGUCCCCCUGCACAAGCUCUCUCUCUCUUUGCCUGCUGCCAUCUAUUUAAGAUGUGACUUGCUCUUCCUUGCCUUCCGCCGUGAUUGUGAGGCUUCCCCAGCCAUGUGGAACUGUAAGUCCAAUUAAACCUCUUCUUUUGU
rnacentral:lncRNA from 10 species